GACGAACGCUGGCGGCGUGCUUAACACAUGCAAGUCGAACGAAGUGGCGAACGGGUGAGUAACGCGUAAUCAACCUGCCCUUCAGAGGGGGAUAACAGUUGGAAACGAAUGCUAAUACCGCAUACUGAAGGGGGGGAUGGCGUCGGAUUAGCUAGUUGGAGGGGUAACGGCCCACCAAGGUGAUGAUUAGUAGCCGGUCGGGGAGGGUGAACGGCCAAAUUGGGACUGAGACACGGCCCAGACUCCUACGGGAGGCAGCAGUGGGGAAUCUUCCGAAAUGGACGGAAGUCUGACGGAGCAACGCCGCGUGAGUGAUGACGGCCUUCGGGUUGUAAAGCUCUGUUAAGCGGGACGCGGUACCGGAAUAGAAAGCCACGGCUAACUACGUGCCAGCAGCCGCGGUAAUAC
rnacentral:rRNA from 1 species